rnacentral:lncRNA from 1 species
GAACUGGGGUCCCAUUUGAGAUCCCAUCUGCGCACUAUACAUCUGCAAAUACAAUAAGCUUGAGUUUUAUUUUAAACUAAUGUAUAGGAUUAGAGUGGUUGAUAGAUAUAUAAGAAAGACAGAGCUAAAAAGCACUUGCGCCAUCAGAUUAGUGAGCAGUCGUUGUCUGCAAUUCAGUAUCUCACAGUAAGCAUAAUCUAUGUGCAUGCUUUUUUUUUCUUUAUUUCUAAAACCAACAAAUUAUAUACAUUUACCAGAAUCUGUAGAGGUGAAAAGAACCCUAAACAAAUUAUAUACAUUUCUAAAACCAACAAAUUAGUGAAAAGAACAUAAAGUUCUUCUCCUGUCUGUUGUCUGCUGUUUGCUGAACAUGAACUAUCUAAACAUGAACUAUCACAGAUUACAAAUGCCCAUCGCUGCUGACUGCUGUCUGCUGAACAUGAACUAUCUAAAAUGAAUUACUGAAUAUGAACAAUCUAAACAUGAACUAUCUGCUGUCUGUUGUCUGCUGAACAAACGCACAUAAAGUUCAUCUCCAUAUUCUUUUAACAGUGUAGCACAGUUUAAUUACUGAACAUGAACUAUCUAAAAUGAAACCCAAAAAAGGCUGACUGCUGUCUGCUAGUCUGCUGAUGUCCAUGCUGAAACUGAAAGUCCUACUAAUCCAACAAAUGCUACUGCUACUGCUCAAAAUGCUUUGUGAAAAGAUGAUUGUGCUUUUCUGAAACAUAUGGGAAAAGAUGCCAGCACAGCUCAUAACUUUUCAGUUCAAUGCUUUGUGAAUCUCAAAAAAAAUAUGGGUCAUAUUGACACGGUAAUGACUAAAUAAAAAGACAAGAUCAUUGCAGAUGCAAGACUAAGGCUCAAAACCACAAUAGGCUCUACCGCUGGCCGCUGCCAGGUCCGCCCUUCUUGUUUGGGGGCACGAAUGGCAGUAUAAUUUCUUGGUGAUUGGGGGCACAAUGCCCGGGUGUACGAUGUUCAUAUGUAUGUACCAUAGAAUUCAGGAUCCUCAUAUUUCAAUAUUUAUUUAAUGGAUUGUUGUUUACUACACCUUAACCUAGCUGUGGGCAGAGAUGAUGUUGAAGCUUGGUAUUAUAUUGACAUGACAUUGUCUCUGUCAGUUAAACUAAAGAUUCAAACUGAACUUAAGCUUUGAAGUGAUCUGUUCACAGUGGUCACUCUAAGCUCUGACUCUUUUAGAUCUAUAGCACUGAGCCACUGAGCUGUCAUGGACCAGAUUUCUACAGUUACUAGUUGUACUAGUGUAAUAGCUUGUCCAAUCAGUUUCUUCUGAAACAACGCUACAUUUUGGUGAGGGAUGUGGACUGUACAAUGGUAUCAUCAUUAAGAAUGCUGGUUGCAGUGGGUGCUUGUCAUCAAACCAUGGGCAACUGCUGGACUGGUAUUAAAUAGCUACAGAGAAAAUGAUGGAAUUUUAUCUAAUUUUGCUCAUUAUUUGUAUUAAAUAGCUUAUUUGUUUGAUUGGAGAAUGCACAAAAGAGCAUGUUCAACCCACCAUGUACUUGUGUGUUCAAUGUGGGCAUCUUUAGAUUAUUCCACUGAAUUUUUAACCUAUUUUGUGUCUGAUCCAAUCAGAAAUUUCAUGUACUCAUUUCUCGAGCAGACUUACAAAGCUGAAUUCUAAUGAUUAUCUGAGUAGUGAGUUAGGGUUAGAAGUUGGGAUAGUAAAGCAGAUCAGCUUUCACAUACCUGCUACUUCUCACAUCCUUUUUCCUGGAAUGCCUAGUAAUUAGUCUCAAUUUAGUUUGAAUCUGAAACUAUAAUAGCAAAAUUAAAGCCAAUGUCAUGAUCAUUAUCAUGUUCAUAUCACAGGACAUAGUGUUUUUGGUGUCUGGAAUGCCUUAACCUUUUAAUUUAUGGUUUUUCCUCUUCUAAUAUAGUCAACGUGAGCUAUAAAUCAGACUGUGACAACCUCCUAAUAAAUGCAGAAAUCACUCAACAAUUGACCAGACUGAUUUUGGGCUGUCUAAGGCUCAGAGCGAGUUAGAUAAAAAAAUAUGGGCAGAUUCUAAGAUUGGGCAGAUUCUGAGCGGAUUACUAAAAUUAUUACCUGCAUCAGCAUUCCCUGCAUCAUCUGAACUUGUUGAGAUAGUUGUUGAACUUGUUGUUGUUGUUGUCUUAGUUGCUCAUCAAGCUCUGAUUCCCUCGAAGUUGAAGUUCGAGAUCUACUCCCCACCGAGGAAACAGACCGACGACCAAAGCUAUCGCGACUCACAACCCCAUCACCGAUCCCCAACCUAGAAACAUCACAAGUUAAGAACCUAUAGUUUUUAUAUAUCACAACUUUGAUCUUAUCAUACCUCCCAUGUGGUAGCCCACCACCAGCAACAUAUGCUGCAUCCGGAUCGAAAGGUGCCUCCCUCCAAUCUAGAUCAUCGUCUCCUGCUUUCCUCCUAACCUCCUCGG